AACAGAUGGCCGAGUGGUCUAAGCGAUUGACUUUUACUCAAGGGUUCAGUGGUUCGAGCCCAGUUGACGGUUA
rnacentral:tRNA from 1 species